rnacentral:rRNA from 1 species
AGUAAUCGCGGAUCAGCAUGCCGCGGUGAAUACGUUCCCGGGCCUUGUACACACCGCCCGUCACACCAUGAGAGUCGGGAACACCCGAAGUCCGUAGCCUAACUGCAAAGGGGGCGCGGCCGAAGGUGGGUUCGAUAAUUGGAGUGAAGUCGUAACAAGGUACC